rnacentral:lncRNA from 1 species
UCACCUAGAUGGUGCCUACUAUAGUAUCCAUAGAUUUAAACUUGCUUGGCUCUAACAACCAGCUCAACUCUGGCUGCUAGCUCAAGCUGUAGAGGUUUAUCGAACCUGGCCCGUUUCGUGGGCUAUUAAGAGGAACUAGAAGGACCCGAAUCUCUUUUUUCUUAUUCUGAUUUUUCUCUCGUUCCCUCUUCUCACACUCAAUACCAUUAACUUCCUCACCUAUCUUUGUCUUAUCCACUAAGGCCGUAAAAACUCAUUCCCUCCAAUGAGCUAUUAAAACCUUAAGAUCAUAC